AACGAACGCUGGCGGCAUGCCUAACACAUGCAAGUCGAACGAGACCUUCGGGUCUAUUGGCGCACGGGAGCGUAACGCGUGGGAACCUGCCCUUAGGUUCGGAAUAACUCCCCGAAAGGGGUGCUAAUACCGGAUAAUGUCUUCUGACCCAUGAUUUAUCGCCUCUGGAUGGGCCCGCGUUGGAGUAGCUAUUUGGUAGGGUAAAAGCCUACCAAGGCGACGAUCCAUAGCUGGUCUGAGAGGAUGAUCAGCCACACUGGGACUGAGACACGGCCCAGACUCCUACGGGAGGCAGCAGUGGGGAAUAUUGGACAAUGGGCGAGAGCCUGAUCCAGCAAUGCCGCGUGAGUGAUGAAGGCCUUAGGGUUGUAAAGCUCUUUUACCCGGGAUGAUAAUGACAGUACCGGGAGAAUAAGCGCCGGCUAACUCCGUG
rnacentral:rRNA from 1 species